rnacentral:rRNA from 1 species
AUGAGAAGAAUUGAAGAUUUUUUAGCUUGUCAUGAUAUCGCAAGCCUAGCUAAAAAGAUGGUUGAACUUGAAAGGCAUGUUAUGUUUCCUGCUGUUUAUCGCCUCAUUGAGUCGAUGGCAACAGUUGAAAGAGCCUUCUCAUCAAUAAAAAUCAUCAAGACUGAGUUGCGCAGCAAGAUGUCUGAUGGCUGGCUUAAUGACUUGACGGUGUGUCACAUUGAGCGAGAGAUCUUCAAAAGUAUUGAUCUUGGUAAAAUUAAGGAAGAUUUUCAGAAGAAGGGUAGGGCACUGCUGAUGUCUACUACGCAACCUUCUUCU